AGAUUGAACGCUGGCGGUAGGCCUAACACAUGCAAGUCGAGCGCGAAAGCACCUUCGGGUGCGAGUAGAGCGGCGGACGGGUGCGUAACGCGUAGGAAUCUGCCUGGUAGUGGGGGAUAACGUCGGGGAAACUCGAGCUAAUCCGCAUACGCCCCACGGGGGAAAGCGGGGGACCUUCGGGCCUCGCGCUA
rnacentral:rRNA from 1 species